ACACGACUACAUUAGAUACCCGGUAGUCCAGGGUGUAAACGCUGCGGGCUUGGUGUUGGGGGUCCCUUUGAGGGCGCCCAGUGCCGGAGAGAAGUUGUUAAGCCUGCUGCUUGGGGAGUACGUCCGCAAGGAUGAAACUUAAAGGAAUUGGCGGGGGAGCACCACAACGGGUGGAGCUUGCGGUUUAAUUGGAUUCAACGCCGGAAAUCUUACCGGGACCGACAGCAACAUGAAGGCCAGGCUGAAGACUUUGCCGGAUUAGCUG
rnacentral:rRNA from 1 species